rnacentral:rRNA from 1 species
UACGAAGGGGGCUAGCGUUGCUCGGAAUCACUGGGCGUAAAGGGUGCGUAGGCGGGUCUUUAAGUCAGGGGUGAAAUCCUGGAGCUCAACUCCAGAACUGCCUUUGAUACUGAGAAGCUUGAGUCCGGGAGAGGUGAGUGGAACUGCGAGUGUAGAGGUGAAAUUCGUAGAUAUUCGCAAGAACACCAGUGGCGAAGGCGGCUUACUGGUCCGGUACUGACGCUGAGGUGCGAAAGCGUGGGGAGCAAACAGG